rnacentral:rRNA from 1 species
AUUGAACGCUGGCGGCAGGCUUAACACAUGCAAGUCGAACGAGUGGCGGACGGGUGAGUACUGCUUGGGAAUCUGGCUUAUGGAGGGGGAUAACGACGGGAAACUGUCGCUAAUACCGCGUCCCCUAGGUUGAGCCCAAGGGGGAUUAGGUAGUUGGUGGGGUAAUGGCCUACCAAGCCGACGAUCUCUAGCUGGUCUGAGAGGAUGACCAGCCACCCCGGGACUGAGAGACGGCCCGGAAGCCUACGGGAGGUAGCAGUGGGGAAUAUUGCGCAAGGGGGGCAACUCUGACGCAGCCAUGCCGCGUGAAUGAAGAAGGCCUUCGGGUUGUAAAGUUCUUUCGGUAUUGAGGCGUUAAAUACAGAAGAAGCACCGGCUAACUCCGUGCCAGCAGCCGCGGUAAGUC